AGCUCUCUCCACCAGUUAUAUUCUCCCUGGCUUUUCCUAAAAGCAUGCGUGUGUUUGUAUAUAUACCAAACCCCAGCAUUCCAACCAAGGUACUAGUUCUGUCUUCCAAGAAAUAAUUUAGCAAGGGUUGUUCUUGCAGAGAUGAGUGAGAUUAAAUAUGGCUAUCCAUAUCCUGCUCAAGGUCCUUAUCAGGGGCAGCCUCCGGUAGCAGCGCCUCCGCAAUACUAUGCUGCUCCACCACCGCCUAAAAGAGAACGGGGUUUCCUUGAGGGAUGCCUAGCAGCUUUGUGUUGUUGUUGCCUCUUGGACGAGUGCUGCUGUGACCCAACCAUUAUUUUUGCUACCUAAUGCUAUGUCCUUACCAUGCAGGGAGAGACUCUAUUAUUGUAAUAAUAUUCUGAUUUUAAAGCUGUUAUUGUUUAGUUGAUCCCUUCAAAUUAUUACAUAUGUAUGAGUAGUAAUCAAUAUAUUGCUUUUUUAUUUUAUUUU